AGCCACAUCACCUUGAAACACCGGUUCGCGUGCGUUCACCGAAGUUGAGCAACGCCGAGCCUGGUUAGUACUCAGGUGGAUGAUUGUUUGGGAAUCCCAGGUGCUGCAAG